GUUAUUUUGGCAGAUUAGUGCAUUAAAUUUAGAAUUUAAAUAAGUAAUAAUAUUACAAAUAAUAC
rnacentral:tRNA from 1 species